GAAAGGAACAGGAGGAGGAGGAGGAAGAAGGAAAGGUUGGUUAGAGGGAGGAGUCAGUCCGGAUGGAGGAGCAGGAAGGGGAGGAGCAUGAGAUGGAGCAAGCAGCUGAUUGGUUCCUGCAGAGGCAAACAGACCCGACAGCCAGAGCCCACCGGUGGGCCCAGCCCAGAAAGCUUCCAGAACCCAGCCACAGUCAGAACACGCCGGUUCCUGAUGUUCUGGUACCAGAAGCUACACUGAAACGGCUCUGAGUUAAAACGUUCCGGAAAAUAAAACCGAUUGAUCAGUAAGAACUUCAGAACCACCAAACACCAGCAGGAUUAAACCAGAUUAAAACAGGAUUAAACCAGAAUAAACCCUGGAUGAAACAAACAGGAUAAAGCUGAGAGUAUUUCCAGUUAAAACCAGAAUAAAACAAGAAAAAAAAACAGAAUUAAAUGAAAGUAAAACCAGAAUAAAACAGACCAAGUCCAGUUAAAGGCAGAAUAAAUGAGAACCAAGUCAGAAUAUAGACCAGGAGGAAACGCUGAGCUGGCAUUGAUCAUGUGAUCAAUUGCAUCAGAGCCGCCAUCUUGGCGUCUCACUGACCGUUCCGCCUGCUGAUCACCUCCACGAUGGACGGAGGGAAGAAGCCGACCCGGUCCGUUCCCCGCUGGCUAUCGUGGAUGUGGCCCUUCCAGCGCCCGUCCAGGUGCUGCUCCAACACCUGCAGGGGGCGACACCGAGCAGCUGGCAUGAAAACACCUUCAGGGUGAGAGCAGGAGAUUUGGACUGACAAGCAGAACCAGAACCAGGGUUCUUUAACCAAGCUGUCUGGUUUGGUUUUAACCAGAAUUUAGUUUCUCACUUUAUGAAUCAUCUAUGCAGCUACAAACAAGCUGGUUUCUGCUGCAGAACCUGUUUAGUUCUGGUGGUGGAUCCUCAUGGAUCGUCUCAGAGUCCGAAUCCUGGACCAGGACACAAUCUAGAAAUUCUUUUUCUAGACCAGAGGAGUCAGGGAUUGUCAGGUUUCUGAUUAGACAUUAUCAAUAAAGAUUUAUUGAUAAUUUACCUGAAUUAAAUGGAAUUAAAGUAUUGGACUGAGAUGUUGUUCCGAGUUCCACCACAGGAUGGCGGUGCUUCCCCUGCCAGUCCCCACAGAAACGUGUAGAAGAUCACAAACGGUAAAGAUUCUAGAUUUUGUUUACUUCUAGGUUGUUAAUGUUCACCAAGCACAUAGAUAUGAUCACCAUAAAGCCUUUAUCAUGAAAUAUUUGUUAUUCCAUUAACCAGCCUCAGGUAAACUCUGCUUAGAGAAGGAAAUAACUGUUCUACUCUGUUAGCAUCUUUGCGCUAGCAUGCUAGUAGCCCCGUUGGCUUAGCAGCUAACUGCAGGUGUUUUUUAGUAUGUUUUCUUUUAGCUCUCUGUGGAAAGAAACAUCAUAGAAAAUUGUGAGUUUCACUCAGAAAUGAACAUAUAGUGAGCAAAAAUCUGUUAAAUAUUUUAAAAGUUCUGGAUUUUUACUAAAAAGUUGUUCAUGGUGGAAUUAUUAGACCGUGAACUUUGCUAUUCAACAUGUUUAAAAUAAUACAAACGUGAAAUAAAGACGUGAGGAUUAUUUGUAA